GGUUAAGCGACUAAGCGUACACGGUGGAUGCCCUGGCAGUCAGAGGCGAUGAAGGACGUGCUAAUCUGCGAUAAGCGUCGGUAAGGUGAUAUGAACCGUUAUAACCGGCGAUUUCCGAAUGGGGAAACCCAGUGUGAUUCGUCACACUAUCAUUAACUGAAUCCAUAGGUUAAUGAGGCGAACCGGGGGAACUGAAACAUCUAAGUACCCCGAGGAAAAGAAAUCAACCGAGAUUCCCCCAGUAGCGGCGAGCGAACGGGGAGCAGCCCAGAGCCUGAAUCAGUGUGUGUGUUAGUGGAAGCGUCUGGAAAGGCGUGCGAUACAGGGUGACAGCCCCGUACACAAAAAUGCACAUGCUGUGAGCUCGAUGAGUAGGGCGGGACACGUGGUAUCCUGUCUGAAUAUGGGGGGACCAUCCUCCAAGGCUAAAUACUCCUGACUGACCGAUAGUGAACCAGUACCGUGAGGGAAAGGCGAAAAGAACCCCGGCGAGGGGAGUGAAAAAGAACCUGAAACCGUGUACGUACAAGCAGUGGGAGCACAGAGCAAUCUGUGUGACUGCGUACCUUUUGUAUAAUGGGUCAGCGACUUAUAUUCUGUAGCAAGGUUAACCGAAUAGGGGAGCCGAAGGGAAACCGAGUCUUAACUGGGCGUUAAGUUGCAGGGUAUAGACCCGAAACCCGGUGAUCUAGCCAUGGGCAGGUUGAAGGUUGGGUAACACUAACUGGAGGACCGAACCGACUAAUGUUGAAAAAUUAGCGGAUGACUUGUGGCUGGGGGUGAAAGGCCAAUCAAACCGGGAGAUAGCUGGUUCUCCCCGAAAGCUAUUUAGGUAGCGCCUCGUGAAUUCAUCUCCGGGGGUAGAGCACUGUUUCGGCAAGGGGGUCAUCCCGACUUACCAACCCGAUGCAAACUGCGAAUACCGGAGAAUGUUAUCACGGGAGACACACGGCGGGUGCUAACGUCCGUCGUGAAGAGGGAAACAACCCAGACCGCCAGCUAAGGUCCCAAAGUCAUGGUUAAGUGGGAAACGAUGUGGGAAGGCCCAGACAGCCAGGAUGUUGGCUUAGAAGCAGCCAUCAUUUAAAGAAAGCGUAAUAGCUCACUGGUCGAGUCGGCCUGCGCGGAAGAUGUAACGGGGCUAAACCAUGCACCGAAGCUGCGGCAGCGACACUAUGUGUUGUUGGGUAGGGGAGCGUUCUGUAAGCCUGUGAAGGUGUACUGUGAGGUAUGCUGGAGGUAUCAGAAGUGCGAAUGCUGACAUAAGUAACGAUAAAGCGGGUGAAAAGCCCGCUCGCCGGAAGACCAAGGGUUCCUGUCCAACGUUAAUCGGGGCAGGGUGAGUCGACCCCUAAGGCGAGGCCGAAAGGCGUAGUCGAUGGGAAACAGGUUAAUAUUCCUGUACUUGGUGUUACUGCGAAGGGGGGACGGAGAAGGCUAUGUUGGCCGGGCGACGGUUGUCCCGGUUUAAGCGUGUAGGCUGGUUUUCCAGGCAAAUCCGGAAAAUCAAGGCUGAGGCGUGAUGACGAGGCACUACGGUGCUGAAGCAACAAAUGCCCUGCUUCCAGGAAAAGCCUCUAAGCAUCAGGUAACAUCAAAUCGUACCCCAAACCGACACAGGUGGUCAGGUAGAGAAUACCAAGGCGCUUGAGAGAACUCGGGUGAAGGAACUAGGCAAAAUGGUGCCGUAACUUCGGGAGAAGGCACGCUGAUAUGUAGGUGAAGUCCCUCGCGGAUGGAGCUGAAAUCAGUCGAAGAUACCAGCUGGCUGCAACUGUUUAUUAAAAACACAGCACUGUGCAAACACGAAAGUGGACGUAUACGGUGUGACGCCUGCCCGGUGCCGGAAGGUUAAUUGAUGGGGUUAGCGCAAGCGAAGCUCUUGAUCGAAGCCCCGGUAAACGGCGGCCGUAACUAUAACGGUCCUAAGGUAGCGAAAUUCCUUGUCGGGUAAGUUCCGACCUGCACGAAUGGCGUAAUGAUGGCCAGGCUGUCUCCACCCGAGACUCAGUGAAAUUGAACUCGCUGUGAAGAUGCAGUGUACCCGCGGCAAGACGGAAAGACCCCGUGAACCUUUACUAUAGCUUGACACUGAACAUUGAGCCUUGAUGUGUAGGAUAGGUGGGAGGCUUUGAAGUGUGGACGCCAGUCUGCAUGGAGCCGACCUUGAAAUACCACCCUUUAAUGUUUGAUGUUCUAACGUUGACCCGUGAUCCGGGUUGCGGACAGUGUCUGGUGGGUAGUUUGACUGGGGCGGUCUCCUCCUAAAGAGUAACGGAGGAGCACGAAGGUUGGCUAAUCCUGGUCGGACAUCAGGAGGUUAGUGCAAUGGCAUAAGCCAGCUUGACUGCGAGCGUGACGGCGCGAGCAGGUGCGAAAGCAGGUCAUAGUGAUCCGGUGGUUCUGAAUGGAAGGGCCAUCGCUCAACGGAUAAAAGGUACUCCGGGGAUAACAGGCUGAUACCGCCCAAGAGUUCAUAUCGACGGCGGUGUUUGGCACCUCGAUGUCGGCUCAUCACAUCCUGGGGCUGAAGUAGGUCCCAAGGGUAUGGCUGUUCGCCAUUUAAAGUGGUACGCGAGCUGGGUUUAGAACGUCGUGAGACAGUUCGGUCCCUAUCUGCCGUGGGCGCUGGAGAACUGAGGGGGGCUGCUCCUAGUACGAGAGGACCGGAGUGGACGCAUCACUGGUGUUCGGGUUGUCAUGCCAAUGGCACUGCCCGGUAGCUAAAUGCGGAAGAGAUAAGUGCUGAAAGCAUCUAAGCACGAAACUUGCCCCGAGAUGAGUUCUCCCUGACUCCUUGAGAGUCCUGAAGGAACGUUGAAGACGACGACGUUGAUAGGCCGGGUGUGUAAGCGCAGCGAUGCGUUGAGCUAACCGGUACUAAUGAACCGUGAGGCUUAACCUU
rnacentral:rRNA from 1 species